rnacentral:rRNA from 1 species
GAUGAACGCUAGCGGCAGGCUUAACACAUGCAAGUCGAGGGGUAUAGUUUUUCGGAACUAGAGACCGGCGCACGGGUGCGUAACGCGUAUGCAAUCUACCUUUUACAGGGGGAUAGCCCAGAGAAAUUUGGAUUAAUACCCCAUAGUAUAAUGAGUUGGCAUCAGCACAUUAUUAAAGUCACAACGGUAAAAGAUGAGCAUGCGUCCCAUUAGCUUGAUGGUAAGGUAACGGCUUACCAUGGCUACGAUGGGUAGGGGUCCUGAGAGGGGGAUCCCCCACACUGGUACUGAGACACGGACCAGACUCCUACGGGAGGCAGCAGUGAGGAAUAUUGGUCAAUGGGCGCAAGCCUGAACCAGCCAUGCCGCGUGCAGGAUGACGGUCCUAUGGAUUGUAAACUGCUUUUGUACAGGAAGAAACACUCCUUCGUGAAGGAACUUGACGGUACUGUAAGAAUAAGGAUCGGCUAACUCCGUGCCAGCCGCCGCAGUAAAAC